UACGUAGGGCGCAAGCGUUGUCCGGAAUUAUUGGGCGUAAAGAGCUCGUAGGCGGUUUGUCGCGUCUGGCUGUGAAAACCUGAGGCUCAACCUCGGGCUUGCAGUGGGUACGGGGCAGACUAGAGUGCGGUAGGGGAGACUGGAAUUCCUGGUGUAGCGGUGAAAUGCGCAGAUAUCAGGAGGAACGACCGGUGGCGAAGGCGGGUCUC
rnacentral:rRNA from 1 species